CUACGGAGGGUGCAAGCGUUAUCCGGAAUCAUUGGGUUUAAAGGGUCCGUAGGCGGGCUAAUAAGUCAGGGGUGAAAUCCCACAGCUUAACUGUGGAACUGCCCUUGAUACUGUUGGUCUUGAGUUACAGUGAAGUGGUUAGAAUGUGUAGUGUAGCGGUGAAAUGCAUAGAGAUUACACAGAAUACCGAUUGCGAAGGCAGAUCACUAACUGUAUACUGACGCUAAUGGACGAAAGCGUGGGGAGCGAACAGGAUUAGAAACCCUAGUAGUCC
rnacentral:rRNA from 1 species